AUUGAACGCUGGCGGCAGGCUUAACACAUGCAAGUCGAGCGGGGUGAAGUGCUUCGGUACUGAUCCUAGCGGCGGACGGGUGAGUAAUGCUUAGGAAUCUGCCAUUUAGUGGGGGACAACAUUCCGAAAGGGAUGCUAAUACCGCAUACGUCCUACGGGAGAAAGCAGGGGAUCUUCGGACCUUGCGCUAAAUGAUGAGCAUAAGUCAGAUUAGCUAGUUGGUGGGUUAAAGGCCUACCAAUGCGACGAUCUGUAGCGGGUCUGAGAGGAUGAUCCGCCACACUGGGACUGAGACACGGCCCAGACUCCUACGGGAGGCAGCAGUGGGGAAUAUUGGACAAUGGGCGGAAGCCUGAUCCAGCCAUGCCGCGUGUGUGAAGAAGGCCUUUUGGUUGUAAAGAACUUUAAGCGAGGAGGAGGCUACCUGGAUUAAUACUCUGGGAUAGUGGACGUUACUCGCAGAAUAAGCACCGGCUAACUCUGUGCCAGCAGCCGCCGUAACAC
rnacentral:rRNA from 1 species